AGUGAACGCCGGCGGUAGGCCUAACACAUGCAAGUCGAACGGCAGCACAGUAAGAGCUUGCUCUUACGGGUGGCGAGUGGCGGACGGGUGAGGAAUACAUCGGAAUCUACUUUUUCGUGGGGGAUAACGUAGGGAAACUUACGCUAAUACCGCAUACGACCUACGGGUGAAAGCAGGGGAUCUUCGGACCUUGCGCGAUUGAAUGAGCCGAUGUCGGAUUAGCUAGUUGGCGGGGUAAAGGCCCACCAAGGCGACGAUCCGUAGCUGGUCUGAGAGGAUGAUCAGCCACACUGGAACUGAGACACAGUCCAGACUCCUACGGGAGGCAGCAGUGGGGAAUAUUGGACAAUGGGCGCAAGCCUGAUCCAGCCAUACCGCGUGGGUGAAGAAGGCCUUCGGGUUGUAAAGCCCUUUUGUUGGGAAAGAAAAGCAGCAGGUUAAUACCCCGCUGUUCUGACGGUACCCAAAGAAUAAGCACCGGCUAACUUCGUG
rnacentral:rRNA from 1 species